rnacentral:rRNA from 1 species
GAUGAACGCUAGCUACAGGCUUAACACAUGCAAGUCGAGGGGCAGCGCAGUGUAGCAAUACACGGGCGGCGACCGGCGCACGGGUGCGUAACGCGUAUCCAACUUUCCCGUUACUCAGGGAUAGCCUUCCGAAAGGGAGAUUAAUACCUGAUGGUGUUUGAAGUUCGCAUGUUCUUCAAACUAAAGAUUUAUCGGUAACGGAUAGGGAUGCGUGACAUUAGAUAGUAGGCGGGGUAACGGCCCACCUAGUCUACGAUGUCUAGGGGUUCUGAGAGGAAGGUCCCCCACACUGGAACUGAGACACGGUCCAGACUCCUACGGGAGGCAGCAGUGAGGAAUAUUGGUCAAUGGUCGAAGGACUGAACCAGCCAUGCCGCGUGAAGGUGACGGCCCUAUGGGUCUUAAACUUCUUUUGUAAGGGAGCAAAUAAGGUGUACGUGUACAUCGAUGAGAGUACCUUACGAAUAAGCAUCGGCUAACUCCGUG